UACGUAGGGGGCAAGCGUUGUCCGGAAUCAUUGGGCGUAAAGAGCGUGUAGGCGGCUUGGUAAGUCCGCUGUGAAAGUCCAGGGCUCAACCCUGGAAUGCCGGUGGAAACUGUCAAGCUUGAGUCCGGAAGAGGCGAGUGGAAUUCCUGGUGUAGCGGUGAAAUGCGCAGAUAUCAGGAGGAACACCAAUGGCGAAGGCAGCUCGCUGGGACGGUACUGACGCUGAGACGCGAAAGCGUGGGGAGCGAUCCGG
rnacentral:rRNA from 1 species